rnacentral:rRNA from 1 species
UGGUGGAGUGAUUUGUCUGGUUAACUCCGAUAACGAACGAGACUCUGUCCUGCUAACUAGGUUGUGUUUUCUCGGGUUGGUGUUUCUGGUGUUCCUUCUCGGGGCGCCGGCCCAAUCCACUUGUGAACACAACACUCUUCUUAGAGGGACUGGCGGCUGUUAGCCGCACGAGAUAGAGCAAUAACA